rnacentral:rRNA from 1 species
ACGAGAGCGUAGAGAAAGCUUGCUUUUUCUACAAUCUAGUGGCAAACGGGUGAGUAACGCGUAAACAACCUGCCCUACGGAUGGGGACAACAGCUGGAAACGGCUGCUAAUACCGAAUACGUUCCGAAAGUCGCAUGACUGUCGGAAGAAAGGAUGGCCUCUAUUUAUAAGCUAUCGCCGGAGGAGGGGUUUGCGUCUGAUUAGCUAGUUGGAGGGGUAACGGCCCACCAAGGCGACGAUCAGUAGCCGGUCUGAGAGGAUGAACGGCCACAUUGGAACUGAGACACGGUCCAGACUCCUACGGGAGGCAGCAGUGGGGAAUCUUCCGCAAUGGGCGAAAGCCUGACGGAGCAACGCCGCGUGAGUNAAGACGGCCUUCGGGUUGUAAAGCUCUGUUAUACGGGACGAAUAGUCUUGUGGUUAAUACCCAUGAGAAGUGACGGUACCGUAAGAGAAAGCCACGGCUAACUACGUGCCAGCAGCCGCGGUAAUACGUAGGUGGCAAGCGUUGUCCGGAAUUAUUGGGCGUAAAGGGCGCGCAGGCGGCUUCUUAAGUCUGUCUUAAAAGUGCGGGGCUUAACCCCGUGAUGGGAUGGAAACUGGGAAGCUCAGAGUAUCGGAGAGGAAAGCGGAAUUCCUAGUGUAGCGGUGAAAUGCGUAGAUAUUAGGAGGAACACCAGUGGCGAAAGCGGCUUUCUGGACGAAAACUGACGCUGAGGCGCGAAAGCCAGGGGAGCGAACGGGAUUAGAUACCCCGGUAGUCCUGGCCGUAAACGAUGGGUACUAGGUGUAGGAGGUAUCGACCCCUUCUGUGCCGGAGUUAACGCA